UUGAAUAAUUAGUUGGAUAUGGCACACAGGCACAGACACAGGCAGCGGAAAAAGAAAACCCCACAACGGAAAGUGUAGCUCAAAAGUGGAUGUAGAUUCUACGUUCCCCCGCACACACACUGCAAUUUAUAAAUUAUGAUUGACGACUCUCUCUUUGUGUGCGUGCCAUGUGGAUACAUCCAUCCAUCCGUACACACACUCCUCGAGCUCGGGCUCGGGCUCGGGCUCUAUCAUGUGAGACCUGACGUCGUCUGACAUUUUUCUCUAUAUAGAUUUUGUGCUCUGGCCUCGGUCAUUAUGGCUGACAACGUGCCUUCAAAAUGAUGAGUUUAGAUUGAUGGCCGCACAUCACUCAGCGAGAUGAUGGCAACCACACCGAUAACAGGAAAGAAAAUUGCACGGGGGACUAAAAGUGAUUUAUGGAUGCUCUUACGCACUCAGCUGUGGCUUUAAAUACUUUAAAAUUC
rnacentral:lncRNA from 1 species